rnacentral:lncRNA from 10 species
CCUCUCCAAGCAUGCCAAAUUAAUCACACUUCUUAAACACAUCUCUUGACCGGGGUGUUCUCACCAUGCCCUUUCUACAAACAAAAAAAUGAAGAUGUGGAGACCUGGAGACAGGUGGCACCUCGUGCUUCCUCCGAAGGGAGAGCCCAUUUCCUAACAGCUGGAUCAAAGGCAUGAAAUGAACAUGGAGUCCCUGAAGAUGAAGAGAAGGCAUGGCUUCCAGGGAGAAAUUGUACAUUACAGGAAUGCAGAUGUGAUUCCUAUGGAUGAGGGUAACCUAGAGGCUAGAAGAACAAUAGGACAGAAGAAGCCUGGGUCCCUGAACAACCUUGUGGAGCAUAGACACCUACGUGGCCUGGACUGCCAGCUCACAAUGGGCCUCUCUGUGAGAGAAGGAAACUUCCCUCUUGUUUAAGCAACUGUGCUUUUGAGAAUCUCUUGGUCUAUACCCUAAUGAAUAAGGCCAUCAUAAAUGGAUAUCAAAGUAAGGAAAUUUGUGUAAAUGAUUUAAUAAAACAUUACCUCAGGUAUGAAAUAAUUCUACCUUGUGCCUUGACAACAUCAGGUAUUAUUCAUGCCCUUUUCUCUCCCUGUAAUGUCUCUUAUCCACGGGUAGAAAUUAUAUUUUCCAUCUAAGGUUUGCUCAAAUAUUAUCUACUUAAGUAGCUCUUACCAAUUUUGCCUCUCCUCCUGAGCUGACCCUAUGCCUUCUAUGCUGUUCCAGGUAAUAUUAAUCUCUUCCUUUGUACUUCUUUCACAGAACAUACUUUUUUGUCUAACAUAAUAACUAUAGGCAUAAGUGUAUAGAUUCCACUAGGGGCUUCAGAACAGAAACUAUCAUCUUAUUAAUUUUUUUCUCCCUGAUAUCUAGGGAAAUAUGUUAUAUAUAAUAGGCCCUUAGUAAUCCCAUAAAUGUUUGUGAGAUAUUCACUGACUAUAAGCCAUACUCUGUAUUUAUUUAGCUAAAACAGACGUCUUUCAUAUUUAGUUAGCAGAAAAUGCUCACAUUUACUCCUUUCCUGUUUACCAAAUGAAAGGGUAAUUGUUUUUUCACAGAUUGCACUAGAAAAGUGUCUUCUCUCUCUUUUUCAAAUAGAUUGUCUUUAAAACAUAUGACAGGAAAAGUGACUAUUGUUAGGAUAAGAUAAUUACGAUUGUAACAGCUAGUUUAAAAGAAGUGUCAGUUGCUCCUGUUUUAUUUUUCACAGGAUAGAGCUGCGGCCUGUCUCAGUAUGAUGUUUUCAGGAUCUGGUAUAUAUUUUUAUUUUCCUACAUGAAUCUUUCAUCCUUUUACUGACAUUUAUUCAUUUUAUCUAAUUAUCCUAAAAGGAAAGCUCUGGCCAGGCAAAUUGGUUGUUGUCUGCCUCUGAAGAGACAUUCAUAUCGCGUCGCUUAGCUUUCAAGUUUUGUGAUCAGGAACCCUCAGGCCCAUUUUUAAGGAGGUUUCAGGCUAGCUGAGCUUCACUGUCUCCCAAAAUGUACAAAAUGAGAUUACAUGAGGGACAAGAUCAAUUUACUGGAAGGUACUUAAGCAGUAAAUCUGGAGCUUUUUGUCCAGUCACUAUUGCUUUCAAGCUUUGUAGCAGAAAAUUAAGCCACAAGAGCUUUGACAAAUUAGAUAUUACUACCUCUAAUUGUGUAUGUUUAAGCUUAUCACACUGAAUUGCAGCAUUGUAACUGACUAUUAUGCCAACAAGGCCUUCGUUUAAUCAGCGCAGUGCCAUUUAAUCGCAAUUAAUCACUCAACUAAAAUGUCAUAUUAAGGUCACAGAAACUUGAAGGGCUAAAAGAAAAGAGAACAUUAAAGUCAGCUGAUGGAGGAAAAGAGCAUGGUGUGCCAAGGGAAGUUCUGAGCACUCUUUUUCAUUAGAAGCUGGUAGAACAUUUAAUGAGAAUUCAGUCUUAACUUUCAGCUGAGAUCAGAACAACGUGCC